rnacentral:rRNA from 1 species
UACGUAGGGGGCAAGCGUUGUCCGGAAUUAUUGGGCGUAAAGAGCGUGUAGGCGGCCAGAUAAGUCCGCUGUGAAAUCUCGAGGCUCAACUUCGAGCUGUCGGUGGAAACUAUCUGGCUAGAGUCCGGAAGAGGAGAAUGGAAUUCCCGGUGUAGCGGUGAAAUGCGCAGAUAUCGGGAAGAACACCCGUGGCGGAAGGCGGUUCUCUGGGGACGGUACUGACGCCUGAGACGCGAAAGCGUGGGGAGCGAACAGG